rnacentral:lncRNA from 1 species
CUAAUAAAGCAUGUGAACAAGUUUCAUGAAGCUAGUUCCUAUCAACUACUGGUGGCAAAUCAUCCAGAAAUCAAUCCACCUCUAGAAUUUCGGACAAUCUAUAUUACCGACUGCAUUAGCUAAGACAAUACAAACAAGAUAGCAGCCAACCAAACUAGCUUGCAAGAAGCUUGCAGGCUCAUGAUCCCCAUCCGAGUUAUUGAACCGGCUCUUGCUCGAAGGCCAGUUGACUUGACAAGCUAACUCGUCCUGGGAGCCCACAACAAGCUUAUAUCCAUCUAAAACCACACAAAAUACAAUGCCAUGCACUUGGAAGGAUAGCACGCAAAAAAUUAUUGUCCUACAAAGAUAAUUUACAGAUGAAAACAAAUCCUUUAGCUCCAUUACUAUGAGCACCAACAAAAGAACAAUGGAGAGGGAUCCCGCAACACACCACCCAGUCAGCAACUGAUCAGUAGGAAUUCCAUGGUAAGUUGAAUCAUUCGCCUAACAGAACCAAUGCCGUCCAACGAGACUUAUUUCAAGCAAAAACUUCCCCUCCAAUGUUGACUUAAAUAGAACCUUCACAAUCAGGUAUCACAGUACAGCGGCCCUGUUUGGGGGAGCUGUUGGCAGUAGAGCUGUUGGAAGUAGAGCUGUCUGAAGUAGAACUGUUAUAAAAAGCUGUUUGUUGUUUAGUAACUAUAUUUUUAAAGUGUUGUGGCACUUUAACAUAUGUUUGGUAAACAAACUGAGAAAGUACUUUUAUAUGACAAAAUUACCAUAAAGGACAAUGCAUAGUAUUAUACAAUAGAGCAUGAUAAAACAUAACAUAUAUUAAUACAUAAUAUACGAUAUAGUAUAAUAUUACUAUAAUAUAAAAUAUUAUUAUUAUAAUAUAGUAAUAUGAUAUUGCAUAGCAUAGCAUAAUGGUAAUAUAAUUAUUAGAGUAAAUUAAUUUUCUAUUAUAUAACAUAAUAUUAAAUUAUUUAACAUAACAUAUUAAUGUAUUAUGAUAUAAUGUAAUAUAUAUUAUAUUUAUAGUAUAAUACAAUAAUAAAGAUAUAAAAUAUUAUAAUUAUUAGUAUUAAUUAAUUUCUCAUACAAUAAUAAAGAUAUAAAAUAUUAUAAAAUACAAUGCCAUGCACUUGGAAGGAUAUCACGCAAAAAAUUAUUGUCCUACAAAGAUAAUUUACAGAUGAAAACAAAUCCUUUAGCUCCAUUACUAUGAGCACCAACAAAAGAACAAUGGAGAGGGAUCCCGCAACACACCACCCAGUCAGCAACUGAUCAGUAGGAAUUCCAUGGUAAGUUGAAUCAUUCGCCUAACAGAACCAAUGCCUUCCAACGAGACUUAUUUCAAGCAAAAACUUCCCCUCCAAUGUUGACUUAAAUAGAACCUUCACAAUCAGGUAUCACAGUCCAGCAUCUCAUGUUAAUUACCGUUUGGACUUAUUUGGUGCUUUUAAAAAUGCUUGCUCUGUAGUAUUUGAGUUCCCUUAUGCUUUCUUU